UACGGGGGGGGCAAGCGUUGUUCGGAAUUACUGGGCGUAAAGGGCUCGUAGGUGGCCAACUAAGUCAGACGUGAAAUCCCUCGGCUUAACCGGGGAACUGCGUCUGAUACUGGAUGGCUAGAGUUUGGGAGAGGGAUGCGGAAUUCCAGGUGUAGCGGUGAAAUGCGUAGAUAUCUGGAGGAACACCGGUGGCGAAGGCGGCAUCCUGGACCAACACUGACGCUGAGGAGCGAAAACCAGGGGAGCAAACGGG
rnacentral:rRNA from 1 species